UGGUGUCCUCUUAAUAUUAUUAUAUAUAUAAUAAUUAAAUAAUGUUUUUUAACUCGUUUAAUAAAACUAGAAAUACAUUAUAUUGAACCAAAAGAAUUGUGAAUCGAUACUUAAUAGUCGCUAAAAUUACGCCACUAGCAGCGAAUUUGCUUCGCGGCGACGACAUCUCGAUCAGCGGUCGACAAACCGACAAGUCCGUUCCGACCGAUCCGACGACACACUUCAACACUUGGUCCGGUGCUGUUCCCCCCGCGGGCAGUCUUCGGGUCUGUCGCGAUGGUAGCACGACAACCGUGCAUGGUUAGGUUUCCAAGGAGUCCGCAAAGACGUUGCACUGUUGUACAGUCUUGUGAACCGAACAACAUCUCCGCGAUCGGUGGCGCGCGAGUCGACUUUCGUCAAUCUGGGUGUUCACGCGACCGUCGUCGGUAGCGCCAUCUGUACGACGUUACGACCAGUAUCACCGUUGCCACCGCCGUCGCACGCAGAUGUCGUUCGCACAUUCGCCGAGAAGUAUCAGCGGGACAGGGACAGUAGUAGGACAUAGAAAAGGUGUCGGACCACAGAAAUUAUGUUAGAUUCACACUUUCACUCAUUUAAAAAAUAAGGAACGAAAAUUACGCACGUUUGCAGGUCCUUUAACACGUUGAGCAUAGCCCGUGUCGCCGCGCCGAAAGUACGUCCGGUCGACUAUGUGCAUCGUUAUUAGACUUAAAUUCGGCAACGACGGGUAAUUCAGCUAUCUAUAAUAAUUUGAUGUGGUUUUCGCUCUAAAUUCUUAUCAAUAAAACAAUGAAACUAUUGUUGUCCAA